GUAGUAGUACGUACAGACCAGGCAGUAGUAUGUGUGUAUAAUGCAUAGACUAGGCAGUAGUAUGUACAGACCAGGCAGUAGUACGUACAGACCAGGCAACAGUAUGUGUGUAUAAUGCAUAGACUAGGCAGUAGUAUGUACAGACCAGGCAGUAGUAUGUACAGACCAGGCAGUAGUAUGCAUAGACUAGGCAGUAGUAUGUACAGACCAGGCAGUAGUUCGUACAGACCAGGCAGUAGUAUGUACAGACCAGGCAGAAGUAUGUACAGACCAGGCAGUAGUAUGUACAGACCAGGCAGUAGUAUGCAUAGCCCAGGCAGUAGUAUGCAUAGACCAGGUAGUAGUAUGCAUAGACCAGGCAGUAGUACGCAUAGACCAGGCAGUAGUAUGUACAGACCAGGCAGUAGUACGUACAGACCAGGCAGUAGUAUGCAUAGACCAGGCAGAAGUAUGCAUAGACCAGGCAGAAGUAUGCAUAGACCAGGCAGUAGUAUGUACAGACCAGGCAGUAGUAUGUACAGACCAGGCAGUAGUAUGUACAGACCAGGCAG
rnacentral:lncRNA from 1 species